ACGUGGCCAGUACAGGGGCCGGCACCAGGGGGUUAUCGAAGCAGCUGUCACGAUGCUGGGGUACCUGGUGUCGAGGAGAACAGCGCCGGCGCCGCGGCUGCUCCUCCAGCUGCUUAGGUCCCCAUCGCUCCGGAGCCGUGGGAGUGCCACCGACCGGAGUGUGACCACCGGGGGACGCGGGGAGCCUCAGUGGCUGAGGGCAGCCAUCGGGGGGCGCCCUGGAACAUCGCCGGCCUUACUCACAAGAGAAGGGACAGCCACUGGGGGGCGCCAGAGGGGAGGUACCGAGACCCCCUGCCUCGCAGCCGCCACGUGGGGACGCCUUCCUAGCCCCGAAGACACUCUGCCUGGACAGGACAGCUGGAACGGGGCCCUCAACAGGGCCGGAAUGGGCGUGUGGGCGCUGGCAACGGUGCUGGUGGUACACUGUUACAGCAAGAGCCCGUCCAACAAGGAUGCAGCCCUGGUGGAAGCUGUUCGAGCCAACAAUGUCCAAGAAGUCAACAGGCUGUUGUCGGAAGGUGCUGAUGUCAAUGCAAGGCACAAACUUGGCUGGACAGCACUCAUGGUGGCAGCCAUCAACCGAAACGACAGUGUGGUGCAGGUCCUGCUUGCAGCUGGUGCUGACCCAAACCUCGGGGAUGAUUUCAGCAGUGUUUACAAGACUGCCAAGGAGCAGGGAAUCCAUUCUUUAGAAGAUGGGGGACAGGAUGAUGCAAGCUGGUACAUCACAAACCAGUGGACAAGUGCCCUGGAGUUCAGGAGACGGCUAGGAGUCCCCGCCAGCGUCCUGGUCACCCGAGAGGAUGACUUCAACAACCGGCUGAACAACCGUGCCAGCUUCAAGGGCUGCACAGCCCUGCACUAUGCUGUCCUUGCCGACGACUACCGCACCGUCAGGGAGCUGCUUGGUGGAGGAGCUAACCCCCUGCAGAGGAAUGAAAUGGGACACACACCCUUGGAUUAUGCUCGAGAAGGGGAGGUGAUGAAGCUCUUAAGGACUUCUGAGGCCAAGUACCAAGAGAAGCAGCGGAAACGUGAGGCCGAGGAACGGCGCCGCUUUCCCCUGGAGCAGCGGCUGAAGGAGCACAUCAUUGGCCAGGAGAGUGCCAUCGCCACAGUAGGUGCUGCGAUCCGGAGGAAGGAGAAUGGCUGGUACGACGAAGAACACCCUCUGGUCUUCCUCUUCCUGGGAUCAUCUGGAAUAGGAAAAACAGAACUGGCCAAGCAGACAGCCAAAUAUAUGCACAAAGAUGCCAAAAAGGGUUUCAUCAGGCUUGACAUGUCUGAGUUCCAGGAGCGGCAUGAGGUGGCCAAAUUUAUUGGGUCCCCACCAGGCUACAUCGGCCAUGAGGAGGGUGGCCAGCUGACCAAGAAGCUGAAGCAGUGCCCCAACGCUGUGGUGCUCUUCGAUGAGGUGGACAAAGCCCAUCCAGAUGUGCUCACCAUCAUGCUGCAGCUGUUUGAUGAGGGCCGGCUGACAGAUGGAAAAGGGAAGACCAUCGACUGCAAGGACGCCAUCUUCAUCAUGACCUCCAACGUGGGCAGUGACGAGAUAGCACAGCACGCGCUGCAGCUGAGGCAGGAAGCUUUGGAGAUGAGCCAUAAUCGGAUCGCCGAGAACCUUGGGGAUGUCCAGACUAGUGACAAGAUCACCAUCUCUAAGAACUUCAAGGAAAAUGUGAUUCGCCCCAUCCUAAAAGCUCACUUCAGGAGAGAUGAGUUUCUGGGACGAAUCAAUGAGAUCGUCUACUUCCUCCCCUUCUGCCACUCGGAGCUCAUCCAACUCGUCAACAAGGAGCUGAAUUUCUGGGCCAAGAGAGCCAAGCAAAGGCACAACAUCACACUGCUCUGGGACCGUGAGGUGGCAGACGUGUUGGUUGACGGCUACAACGUGCACUAUGGCGCCCGCUCCAUUAAGCAUGAGGUGGAGCGCCGUGUGGUAAACCAGCUGGCGGCCGCCUACGAGCAGGACCUGCUGCCAGGGGGCUGCACUCUGCGCAUCACUGUGGAGGACUCAGACAAGCAGCUACUCAAGAGUCCUGAACUGCCCUCACCCCAGGCUGAGAAGCGUCCACCCAAGCUGCGGCUGGAGAUCAUCGAUAAGGACAGCAAGACCCACAGAUUGGACAUCCAGGCACCACUAAACCCUGAGAAGGUGGCAGAGGCUCUAUUGUUUUGCUCUAUAAAGAAACCAUAUCUGGAACAACAGUACAAUUGGAGUCAUCACCUGUCUUAACCUUUCAAUAAUCCACUGUCAUUCUCCAAGGCUCUUCUGACUUCAUCAUGAGCCAGAGAGGUGAUUAGAACUCCCAGCUCUUAAAAUCGGCACAUGGAAUCCAGGCUCUCUGGUAAGUGCACUCAUAUUGGUCAUUUCAUUCUAAUUUUAAAUUAUGUUCCUCCUCCUUAGUCCUGAACCCUCAGAAUCCAUUCCCACAUAUAUUUGCCAAAUUUUAUUGAUAUAAAUUUGAAAAAUCUUUUAAUUCUUUUAGUGAGAAGGCCUUCUUGUGAAUUUGAGCUCCUAUUUGACCCUGAUGCAUGUUGGGGUCUGAUUUUGAUAAUGAGUAUGGAGACGAUUAAGUCAGUGGGAUGGGGCAUGAGGAGACUUGGCUUCCUCUUGCCACAUAAUUCCCCAUGGGAAGUCUACAUAUAGUCUUCACACCAGAGGGAAGCAACCCCAUUGGACAGGGAGAGGGUGCUAUAGUCUUUGGCUAUUUUCAGUGGUAGGUUGGGGUUGUAAGAGAGAUCACCAAUUGCCUGCUGUGGUAGACAGCUUCUGACAUGACUCCCAGAGAUCCCUGCCUCCUGAUGCUCAUGCCCUGUGUAAUCCCCUCUCCCUGGGUGUGAGCAGGGAGAGGGGAUAGUAACUUGCUUCUAAGGAAUAGAAAUGGCAAAAGUGACAGAAUGUCAUUUCCAAGGAUAGGUUAUAAAAGGCUGACUUCAGUCUUGCUGGCAUUCUCUCUGGCUCUUCCUACAUGCUUGCCCUGAUGGAGAGGCCCAUAGGCCAAGGGAAUGAGGGUAACCACUGGCAAACAUCUGAUAAGGACUGAGCCUUUCAGAGGAACUGAGUCCUGGAGGAACUGAGUCCUGGCAACAACCAUGUGAGUGAGCUUGGGGGAAAUCAUUCCUUAGUCAAGCCUUCAUUUGAGACUGCAGAACUAGCACCUCGAUUGCAUCCUUGGGCGAGGCCCUUGAAGCAGAAGACUCAGGUUAGCCACACCCAGAUUUCUUACCCACAGAAACUGUGACUUUAUAAGUAUGUGGUUUCUUUGGGGUUUUUUUGUUUU